rnacentral:snoRNA from 1 species
AGCACGUGUUUUUGUUUUACUUGUAGACAAAGUUUAAUAGGUGCAAAAAAUAAAUCAUCAUCUACAAUCAAGAACGCAUUGUUCAGUAUGAGUUUUGACACUCAUAAGAAAUAUCAUG